GUAACGGUGUCUUUAGACACCACCUUUAUCUUUGAAAUUUUGUUGU
rfam:Picea glauca, whole genome shotgun sequence.